UACGUAGGUAGCGAGCGUUGUCCGGAAUAACUGGGCGUAAAGGGAGUGUAGGUGGCAAGAUAAGUGAAUCGUGAAAGACCGGGGCUCAACUUCGGAACUGCGAUUCAUACUGUCUAGCUAGAGUGCAGGAGGGGUAUGUGGAACUCCUAGUGUAGCGGUGGAAUGCGUAGAUAUUAGGAAGAACACCAGAGGCGAAGGCGACAUACUGGACUGUAACUGACACUGAGACUCGAAAGCGUGGGGAUCAAACAGG
rnacentral:rRNA from 1 species